rnacentral:rRNA from 2 species
UAAAAAGCUCGUAGUUGGAUCUGUGUAUCGGACGGUCGGUUCGCCGCUCGCGGCGUCUAACUGACCGGUCCGGACGUCCUGCCGGUGGGCGCCGGCCGCCUUCGCGGCGGCCGGGGCCCGUAACUCCCUCCGCGCUGCUCUUAACCGAGUGGUUCGGUGGGCCGGCACGUUUACUUUGAACAAAUUUGAGUGCUCAAAGCAGGCCACACGUCGCCUGAAAACUGUGUGCAUGGAAUAAUGGAAUAGGGCCUCGGUUCUAUUUUGUUGGCUUUUUCUGAACUCGAGGUAAUGAUUAAUAGGGACAGACGGGGGCAUUCGUAUUGCGACGUUAGAGGUGAAAUUCUUGGAUCGUCGCAAGACGGACCGAUGCGAAAGCGUUUGCCAAGAAUGUUUUCGCUAAUCAAGAACGAAAGUUAGAGGUUCGAAGGCGAUCAGAUACCGCCCUAGUUCUAACCAUAAACGAUGCCAGCCAGCGAUGCGCCGAAGUUCCUCCGAUGACUCGGCGCGCAGCUUCCGGGAAACCAAAGCUUUUGGGUUCCGGGG